rnacentral:misc_RNA from 1 species
CUCGCUGUCGACCACCGCCACGUAGAUGACCGUGCCGGUGGUGGCGUGGUACCUGCUGACGGUCAUGUACCCCGUCCAGGCAGAGCUGCGCCAGUAGGUGCGCGUCCCGUUCCACAUCAGCAUCUGCAGCGACGUGCGCGGGUCCAUGCCGUACGAGAAGGUACCCGGCGACGGGUCGCCGGGCCCCCUCCACGACACGAUGCGCGCGCCGUCGUGCGUCCGGUAGCGCAGGCCCACCUUCAUGUCCGGGAUGAACGUGUCCGUCGGGUGGUCGAAGCUCUGCCAGAGCGUGGUGCCGUUCGGCGACCGGAGGACGAAAUUGCCGGAGUUGAGAAGCACGGCGGUCGAACCAGUACCCGAGCUCGUGGUGUUCGUGGUCCAAACGACGCGACCGCCGCCGGCGUCGGACAAGACGAGGUCGGUGGAGGCGGAGCCGUUAGCCAGGGCAAGCGACGGCGCAGACGACGACGACGACGAGGAGUUGCCGGAGCGCGCGUCGCCGACGGUGACCGGCGCGUCCCGGUUGGCGACCCACACCACCGUCUGCACGGGGAUGUUGUUGUACCAUAUGCCGACGUACUGCCUGCCUGGCGUGGCAUUGGACGGUGCGAAGAAGCCCAGCGCGAAGGCGCCGCCGUCGGACACGAUGGUCUCACCGGGCAACAGCGACUCCCCGGGGGUCAACUUGUCGCCGGCCGGUGAGCAGAAGCGCGGCAGGAGGAGGAGGAGGAGGACGACGGCGGCGGCUGUGACUGGGAUGCAGGCGGGACGUGACCACUCCAUGGUUCAGGUCAUUCGUCCAGUAAGGUACAAAAAACAAAGAGGUGCAGUGCAGGUGCAGCCAUGUGCUUUUGUCUUGGCUGUUGGCACACUCCGAUCCAGCAAGGUACAAAUGAAAUACUCCUGCUUUGAGACUGGGCCGGCAAGUGAUGGUAGUACGGAAGGCG